rnacentral:SRP_RNA from 1 species
UGUUGGGCCUUGCGCAACGAGGCUUUGUGAACUCCGUCAGGUCCGGAAGGAAGCAGCGGUAGCAAAUUCCCCCGUGUGCUGCAAGAUCACCCAACAAUU